UAGGAAUCUGCCUGGUAGUGGGGGACAACGUUUCGAAAGGAACGCUAAUACCGCAUACGUCCUACGGGAGAAAGCAGGGGACCUUCGGGCCUUGCGCUAUCAGAUGAGCCUAGGUCGGAUUAGCUAGUUGGUGAGGUAAUGGCUCACCAAGGCUACGAUCCGUAACUGGUCUGAGAGGAUGAUCAGUCACACUGGAACUGAGACACGGUCCAGACUCCUACGGGAGGCAGCAGUGGGGAAUAUUGGACAAUGGGCGAAAGCCUGAUCCAGCCAUGCCGCGUGUGUGAAGAAGGUCUUCGGAUUGUAAAGCACUUUAAGUUGGGAGGAAGGGCAGUAAGCUAAUAUCUUGCUGUUUUGACGUUACCGACAGAAUAAGCACCGGCUAACUCUGUGCCAGCAGCCGCGGUAAUACAGAGGGUGCAAGCGUUAAUCGGAAUUACUGGGCGUAAAGCGCGCGUA
rnacentral:rRNA from 1 species